rnacentral:misc_RNA from 1 species
GUUUGCCAACACUUAUUUAUCCUUCAAUUUUCUUGUACACUGGGACUUAUUCCCACAAGUGAUACUCCAACAACUAAUUUUUUCGUUGAUGAUUCAUGCUACAUGUUUUUCAGUAUUAACUAACAGAUUGGAAUCAGGACAUUAUUUUGAGGAUAUUCUGAAUAGGGUUAUGAUAUGAGUUCUAAAUUGGAUUCUUUUGAAACUUGAAUUCAUUGUUUCAUAUUUAUCACCAGAAUGCAAACUGACCAUUGGUAAUGCUGGUUUAGGUUAUCGAGAUGUUCCAAAUGGC